rnacentral:rRNA from 1 species
UUACAUCAGCAGUCGUCUCCGCGAAAGAGUGUGGCCGGCGCCCAGAACUUCUGGCGCCCAAUGGGACAUCCUCCAAAACCUGGUGGCUAAUACACGUUCGCAAGGGUCUGCCGCGGCAAACCUGCCGGACCCCGCGGCCCGUCCGCGGGGAGCCCCGCAGGUGGUGGAUCGCACCCAGCCGUUUGUAAGACCAGCGCCAGUCCAAUGGCAGUGUGCUUCUCGGUUGACUCAGGCUGGCCCCUCCGCGGGACGCCGGCGCUGGCAGGAGUGGUGGCGGGCCUCCCCGCGGGGUCCGCCACGGCAUGCUUGAUCGCACGAACCUCUGACCUAUCAGCUCGGGACUGUGGCGCAAGGGCCCACAGUGGCGGCAACGGGUGACGGAGAAUUCGGGUUCGAUUCCGGAGAGGGAGCCUGAGAGACGGCUGCCACUACCAAGGUGGGCAGCAGGCGCGCAAAUUGCCCAAUACAGAAGCAUUGUGUGAGGCAGCAACGAACAGCAGCAAUCCCGCCGGCGAUUCCGUCCGGCGGGACUUGGAAUGGAUGCAACCCAAACACCGUGAUGA